GAAGACUCCGCCCACUGACAGCUCUAAUAUGCCCUCUCUGUUAGGCUGAAAUAAUACGUUCAGUUUAAACAGGUGUCAGUCACACGUACCAUUGACAGAAGAACAACUGCAGGAACAGCUCCCAUGGCAGUGUAGCACAGUAAGUCUAGUAUCUUGU